AUACGGAGGGUCCAAGCGUUAUCCGGAUUCAUUGGGUUUAAAGGGUGCGCAGGCGGGCUUGUAAGUCAGUGGUGAAAUACUGCCGCUUAACGGUAGAACUGCCAUUGAUACUGCAAGUCUUGAAUAUGGUUGAGGUAGGCGGAAUGUGUUGUGUAGCGGUGAAAUGCAUAGAUAUGACACAGAACGCCAAUUGCGAAGGCAGCUUACUAAGCCAUUAUUGACGCUGAGGCACGAAAGCGUGGGGAGCGAACAGGAUUAGAAACCCCAGUAGUCC
rnacentral:rRNA from 1 species